GUCAAAAUACCACAUCGUGUUCGGUGUACCAGGGAGGUCAUUGCAACACAAGAUGUAAUUCGAAUGAGACCUCAAUUCCUGGAUAUUGUGCUGCCAACUGCACAUGUUGCGCCAAGCCAUGCAACCAGACAAACAGCUGUACUGCAGUUAAAGGCUUCUGUAUUUACACCACUAGGUGUUUGGGCAGGAAAAUGUUGGGACUCUGUCAAGGCAAUGGAUGCGUCUGUUGCAUCCCAAACUCAAUGACACUACCACCACCAUAAGCAACAGCAAAUCAAGUAACAUGAACAACAGAAGCACCAAGAUGUGAAAAAGCUACAUCACAACUUCCAAUAAUAGCAACAUGGACAGCAAAACUUUCCCGACCAUCGAGAGCAGCACAGGUAUUAACCAAGAAAAUUGCCAUCCCACCAAUUAAAACCCCCCAAAAAAAAGUAUCACUCUCACAAACAAUAACAGCAGCGGCAGCAGCAACACUACUGAAUUUCACUACUAUCACCAACAGUCAUCAUGACUAAAACAAGAAGAAAAACGCCAACAACAGCCGCAAAGUUUCACCGCCAAAAAAAAAAAAAAAAAAAAAAAUUGGCAACAACGGCACUAAUUAAAAUUUACUAAUUAUAACAUAAUCACCUCCAACAACAGCAACUUAUAAAACAAAAGUCACAACUAUCAACAACUACUAACGAAAUAACAGGUACACAACAGCACCAUAACCACCACCACCAACUGCGUAACAGCUUCACACCCACCACCACCCCUAAGAGCAAUAUAACAGACAACACCAGCACCCGCAGCAGCAUAAUAGGCUCACUAUCACUACCAACAACAUACUAGCUUCACCAUAAGUAGCAAUAUAACAGCCUCAUCACAACCGUCAAAAGGGGCAGAGCAAGCUUUAUGACAACGUUUCGUUCUGUACAGACGUAUAACAAGACAAUGGACUUGAUAUAGCUGUAAACAGAGCGUACCGGUGUCACAAUGUAGCUUUAUUUAAAUCAAUAACAACAUAGCAUUGCCUCGCCAGCAACAUUAAAGUCACAACACAACCAACAAAGUGUCGCUACAACCACCACCAGAAUAACAGUCACGACUACCAUCAAAAUGACAAAGUGUCACCACCAACCUUUUUCACUAAUACCAGAACCUCUGCACCACCAACUGCACCACGGGCAAGACUCAUGACAAAGAUUUCAUAUCAAUAAAAGGUCUGUCUUGUUAGCAACAAAAUAUCCAUAAAAUGUAGCCAAGUUUUAUCACUUACGAAGAACAAAAAUGACAUUGCAUUUACGCAUCAUAAAUUACUUUUCAUAUAAUUAAAGCAGCAAACACUGAAAUAAACACCAUAAUAUAAAUUUGUAUUUCGGUUAUUAGAUUUAAUGCUUAUCGAGCAUAUAGGCCUCAUUAAAGUUUGAAUCCAUGUAUACACUUUAAUAUAAUAACCAAAAUAAGAAUCAAAAACAAAAUCGCAGAAAUGCCAACAACUUGGUGUAUAUAGCCUAGUUAAUAGUAAUGAUGCUGGAAUUUUGUCUGUCAGGUGAAUUUGUCCUGACGUAGAUCUUGAGUGAUGUGAUGAGUGGAACUUUCGGUCCUUUAAUUUACAGAAACCCUCAGAAGAGUUACGCAUUCACACACAAAAAAACUGAAGAUUACAUCUUUGGAUUAGAUGAUAGGUUUUCCACUCCAUGGAGAAAAAAACCUAGAUCACUACUCAAAGCUCGAAGUAAAUAAAUUCAUUAAAUGAACACUGAUCUUUUGAUGACGACCCUGACCUGAAUAUCUUUAAUUGUUUAUAGACCACUAGAAUAAGACGAGCGCACACACUGACAGAUAGCCCUGGUAAAAUAUUAAUCACAGAAUGACAAUAAUAUACACUUUCUUAAAACUAUACACAUACCUGAUAUCUUUAUAUAAUGAAUUAUAUAAAGAUAUCACGAAUUAUUAAUUCGUUAAGUUCGUAACUAGAAUACAAAUCAUUUGAUGAUAAAACGCUUGCAAUGUCUACUCGAUUCAUAUGAAAAGGAAAGUCGUGUUUUAAAACUUAUUAUAAUUUCAAAAAUUGCAAAUAAGAUUUUAUGAUAGAGUAUGAACUUAAAAAUAAUGUAACAAGAAUGAGAGAAAUCACACCAGACCUUCAUCCAUCUCUUAUAUUUUUGGUUUACCAUGUAUGUAUUUCCAUUAUACGAGCUAUCAAAAAAAAAAAAAAAUUGAAAGUGGAGAAAGGAAAGCAAUAUGGAUAGGAUUUAAAAUAUAAAAUUAUUUAACUAUGAAAAUGUUU